GCUGAACUCAUCCGACUGCCAGAAGAUUCUGGAGGACUUGAACAACCUCCUCCCACUGUGGUUUGGGCAGCCCAUGUCCCCCUGCUGCUGAUCUCCAGGGCCUGGCAGGAGCUCACAGCCAGAUAAAACUGUAAGAGGUACAGCAAGGAAGGCAGGACAUGGGGAAAUGAGAGAGAAAACCUGUUUGGAGACAUUUAAAAAGGAUGUUCAGCUCAGCAGGAACUGAACCAGGAGUUCUGAGCUCGCCCUGCACAGUCCUGGGAUGGCACAGG